AAAAAUGAAGUUAAAAUAUAAUAAUUUAUUUACAAUAAAUAGGGUGCAUAGAUGCCAUUUUUA
rnacentral:tRNA from 1 species